rnacentral:rRNA from 1 species
CCUACGGGAGGCAGCAGUGAGGAAUAUUGGUCAAUGGACGAGAGUCUGAACCAGCCAAGUAGCGUGCAGGAUGACGGCCCUAUGGGUUGUAAACUGCUUUUAUGCGGAGAUAAAGUGAGGGACGUGUCCCUUUUUGUAGGUACCGCAUGAAUAAGGACCGGCUAAUUCCGUGCCAGCAGCCGCGGUAAU